AUUGAACGCUGGCGGCAGGCCUAACACAUGCAAGUCGAACGAGUGGCGGACGGGUGAGUAAUGUCUGGGAAACUGCCCGAUGGAGGGGGAUAACUACUGGAAACGGUAGCUAAUACCGCAUACCAUCGGAUGUGCCCUGAUGGGAUUAGCUAGUAGGUGGGGUAACGGCUCACCUAGGCUACGAUCCCUAGCUGGUCUGAGAGGAUGACGAGCCACACUGGAACUGAGACACGGUCCAGACUCCUACGGGGGGCAGCGGUGGGGAAUAUUGCACAAUGGGCGCAAGCCGGAUGCAGCCAGGCCGCGUGUAUGAAGAAGGCCUUCGGGUGGUAAAGUACGUUCAGCGAGGAGGCGUUACUCGCAGAGGAAGCACCGGCUAACUCCGUGCCAGCAGCCGCGGUAAUUC
rnacentral:rRNA from 1 species